rnacentral:rRNA from 1 species
AUUAAAGUGAGUAAAUAGAAUUUCGUACUCCAUCUCAUAGAUUCCUGUAGAAUUAUGUGGAAGGCCGUAUCCGAUGAAAAUCAUAUGUACAUCUUGGAUGAAGAUCUUUCCUAUCUUUCAAGAUCCGCCCUACAAUAUGGAACCAAAGAAAAAAAAGUGAUUUUUAGCCCUUAUAAAAAGAAAACGGAUUCUUGA